CCCCUCUCAGGAUGGCACCCGGAAAGUUUCCAGUACUCUAUCAGUCUCGCUAUGGGAGGGAGAGUCAAGCAGAGGCCUACACAUUCCAUUCCUAGCUUGGGUAGUGGCUAGCGAGUGGAAGGCAAUCUGCUACAUGG
rnacentral:snoRNA from 2 species